rnacentral:rRNA from 1 species
AGUGACACCCGAAGCCGUAGCGAAAGCGAGUCUGAAUAAGGCUUAUAGUCGUUGGGAUUAGACCCGAAACCGGGUGAGCUACCCAUGGCCAGGGUGAAGCGAGUCUAAACGCUCGUGGAGGCCCGAACCUACUAAUGUUGCAAAAUUAGGGGAUGAGCUGUGGGUAGAGGUGAUAUGCCAAACGAACUUGGAGAUAGCUUGUUCUCCCCGAAAUAGCUUUAGGGCUAGCGUCAUAUGUUUAGUAAUGGAGGUAGAGCACUGAAUGGGCUAGGGGGCUUAAAGCUUACCAAACCCAAUCAAACUCCGAAUGCCAUUACUCCAUAGUAUGACAGUCGGACUCCGGGAGAUGAGUUUCGGGGUCGAAAGGGAAACAGCCCAGAUCAUCGGCUAAGGUCCCCAAAUUUAAGCUAAGUGGGAAACGAUGUGGGGUUACUGUAACAACCAGGAGGUUGGCUCAGAAGCAGCCACCCUUUAAAGAGUGCGUAACAGCUCACUGGUCAAGUGAUCCUGCGCGGAAAACUUAACGGGGCUAAGCUUGAUACCGAAGCCAUGGGUCUCAACGCAAGUUGGGGCAGUAGGGGAGCGUUCUGUCAGCGGUGAAGGUCGAUCGUAAGGGCGACUGGAGCGGACAGAAGUGAGAAUGCAGGCAUGAGUAGCGUACAAACACGUGAGAACCGUGUUCGCCGUAAAUCUAAGGUUUCCGACGCCAGGUCAUUCCGCGUCGGGUUAGUCGGGUCCUUAGCCGAGGCCGAGAGGCGUAGGUGAUGGACAUCCGGUCAACAUUCCGGAACCGCUUGAGAGGCUUGUAGGAAAAUCCGCAGGCUGAGCUGAGGCGAGAGCGAGUCCUAGAGGCAUAAGUGGUUGAGCCGUGUUGCCGAGAAAAGCCUCUAAGCAUUGAUUUCCAGACGCCCGUACCGCAAACCGACACCGGUAGAUGGGUAGAGUAUACCAAGGCGAACGGGAGAACCCUCGUUAAGGAAUUAGGCAACAUGACCCCGUAACUUCGGGAGAAGGGGUACCCCCUGAGGUGUCAAAGCCUCGGAGGGUCGCAGUGAAAUGGCUCUGGUGACUGGUUAACAAAACCAUAGGUCUCUGCUAAGCCGUAAGGCGAUGUAUAGGGGCUGACGCGUGCCCAGUGCCGGAAGGUUAAAGGGAGAGGUUAGCGCAAGCGAAGCUUUGAACUGAAGCCCCGGUGAACGGCGGCCGUAACUAUAACGGUCCUAAGGUAGCGAAAUUCCUUGUCGGGUAAGUUCCGACCCGCAC